GUACUACUUGUUAUAUACUGAAAUUACUNUAGUAGGUGAAAAUACCUACAUAAUGAAUAAAAGACGAGAAGACCCUAGAAAUUUUUUAUAAGAUAUAUGUAUAUACUAUUAUUUUGUUGGGGCGACAAGAUAACAAGUAACUUAUUUUAUUAUAUAUUAGAAUUUUAUAUAAUGUAAAACAAAAUUACUCUAGGGAUAACAGCAUAAUUAUUUAAUAGUUUGUGACCUCGAUGUUGGACUAAGGAAUGUUUUGUCCAGAAGAUAAAGUAGCAUGCUCUGUUCGAGCAAUUAAUCCUUACAUGAUCUGAGUUCG
rnacentral:rRNA from 1 species